UCUCUCAAAAUAAAUAAAUCUUAAAAAAGUUUUUAAAAAAGAUCAUGAUUCAUUAAUAAUUCUGAUCUUUAUUUGUUUUUUUUUUUAAGUAGGUGCCACACCCAUCAUGGAACCCAAUGUGGGGCUUGAACUCACGACCCUGAGAUCAACACCUGAGCUGAGAUCAAAUGUCAGUUGCUUAACCACCUGAGCCACCCAGGCACCCCAAUAAUUCUGAUCUUUAAGAAGGAAUACCUGAAUUCCAGCCAGAAGCAUCUCCUUAAGGUUGCAGAGACCAGAAACCAGAUGACACACUCCUCACCCUUUGGGUGAUUCCGACACAUUGGUCCACGGAUACUGCUCAUCUUUCCACAGCAUAUCAAAAAAAGAAAACUACACCCGCCUUACCAGAACGUCACACAGGAAGACUGCUACAGAAUUCUUUUCAUCGGGACAUGCAACCAUUGCUAUAAUCGGUAUCAUAGCCAAUGGUCCAGUAUUCUGAUGAGAGUGGAACACAGAAAUCAGAUAAUGGUGAGUGGUUCCAAGGCUAGCUGGACAUGUAAACCACCUUGAGAGCUGUUUUUUGAAAAUCAUUAUAAAGCCAAGAAAAGUAUAGAAUUGUAAGAAUCGAAAAUAAGUCCCCGUUUCUUUCCUUUUCCCCACAAACCAUUUCCUAGAGAUAAGCACUGUCAACAGUCCAAUGUAAAUCUUUCCAGAUAUCGUGUGCGCCUAUAGAAGCACGUAGGAGGUAUGUGGAAAUAGAAUGUAUGCACACUCAUUUUUAGAUAACUCUAAUCUUAUUAUGCAUAUCACUGUUCUGCAGCUCUUUUUUUUUUUCAACAUUUGUUUCCUCACUUAAUCUGUGGCAGAGACUAGAGGUUUAUUCAGUAAAGACACUGAGGGGUUCCAGACCACAGAUUCCUAAUACAACCAAAGCAUCUCAGACAGAGUCUUGAUACUAGCCGUUAAAUACACCAUGGUUUUACACAAUGAAAAGUCGGAAAAGACAUAACCGAUGGUCUCAACAGCAAGGGUAAAAAUCAAUAGUUCCCUAGGACUACUAAUACAGUUACUCAAGAUUAUAUAGAGACAAGGCUAUUUAUAUUUUAUAGAUGAAGAAAUUUGGCAAAACUCAACUAAUUUGAAUAAUCACUUUCACAGUUAUCAAAAACAUUUAAAACCAUACUCGUGGUAAUGAAGGAAAGCUUUGUUAACAAUAGAGAAUUGUGGGGCGCCUGGGUGGCUCAGUUGUUAAGCAUCUGCCUUUGGCUCAGGAAAUGAUCCCAGGGUCCUUGGAUCAGAAAUGAUCCCAGGGUCCUCGGAUCAGGCCCCUGCAUCAGGCUCCCUGCUCCGAGGGAGGCCUGCUUCUCCCUCU
rnacentral:lncRNA from 1 species